GAGAGAGAGAGAUUAUUUGGGUACGUGUGGUUCAAUAUAAGAGAGACCGUUUGGGCACGUGUGGUAGACUUUACACACGAUCCCUAUGGAACCAUACAUACACACGGGUAUGUGUGGUGCAGCGAGGAGAAUAACCACCAAUGCCCGGGUAUUUGUGGUGCAAAGUGCCAUUUGAAGCGGUGAAAUUUACACGUCUCUCUCGCGCGCGUAUGUUUUGGUAUAGGUAUCGAUCGGCCAGCUAGUUUGUUUUCAAUUUUGACAGAACGAACGAUACCGUUGUUUUCCUUUUUUGAGGAUCCAGUUUGUACCUCGAUGUCCUGAUUUUGUGUCAUGAUAGAUCUUCAUCCAUAUAAUCGAACAUUUUGUCACAUCGCUAAUCGAAUGUACGUCAUAACGAAGCGGUUCAAGGGUCUGGCCUAGUGUAUCUGCUUUGUUGACGGGAUCUAGACGAGAUCGGUCUGCCCUGGUAGAAGUAUUAUCAUCAGAUGCAUUAGAACCAGCUUUAUUUCAUCUUUGGUCUUCAUACCAUCAUUCAGACUCUCAGCUGUACCAUUAUAGGUGGAUUGGAAGAUCAAUAUCAUGCAGUUAAAUUGCCCUGGUAGAAGUAUUAUCAUCAGAUGCAUUAGAACCAGCUUUAUUUCAUCUUUGGUCUUCAUACCAUCAUUCAGACUCUCAGCUGUACCAUUAUAGCCCUGGUAGAAGUAUUAUCAUCAGAUGCAUUAGAACCAGCUUUAUUUCAUCUUUGGUCUUCAUACCAUCAUUCAGACUCUCAGCUGUACCAUUAUAGGUGGAUUGAAAGAUCAAUAUUUAUGCAGUUAAAAUGCCCUGGUAGAAGUAUUAUCAUCAGAUGCAUUAGAACCAGCUUUAUUUCAUCUUUGGUCUUCAUACCAUCAUUCAGACUCUCAGCUGUACCAUUAUAGAUGCUGUAAGUAGAAAUGGAAGGUGUCCAUCCCUCUGAACUGCCUUAUACCUGCCUGCACCCAGUCAUCUUGGCGUCUACAUGCUCAAAUAUUUUUAAUAAGAAAU
rnacentral:lncRNA from 1 species